UACGGGGGGUGCAAGCGUUAAUCGGAAUCACUGGGCGUAAAGGGUGCGUAGGUGGUUCGUUAAGUUGGAUGUGAAAGCCCCGGGCUCAACCUGGGAAUGGCGGUAGAAACCGGCGCACUAGAGUAUGGGAGAGGGUGGUGGAAUUCCAGGUGUAGCGGUGAAAUGCGUAGAGAUCUGGAGGAACAUCAGUGGCGAAGGCGGCCACCUGGCCCAAUACUGACGCUGAGGCACGAAAGCGUGGGGAGCAAACAGG
rnacentral:rRNA from 1 species